rnacentral:tRNA from 1 species
GGAGAGGUGGCUGAGUGGUUGAAAGCGGCAGAUUGCUAAUCUGUUCUAGGGGUAAAUCCCCUAGCGAGGGUUCGAAUCCCUCCCUCUCCG